GUGCUCGCUUUGGCAGCACAUAUACUAAAAUUGGAACGAUACAGAGAAGAUUAGCAUGACCAAGGAUGACACACAAUUCCUUCUUUAGAAUUUUUU
rnacentral:snRNA from 1 species